CCUACGGGCGGCAGCAGUGGGGAAUAUUGGACAAUGGGGGGAACCCUGAACCAGCGACGCCGCGUGAGUGAAGAAGUAUUUCGGUAUGUAAAGCUCUAUCAGCAGGGAAGAAAGAAAUGACGGUACCUGACUAAGAAGCCCCGGCUAACUACGUGCCAGCAGCCGCGGGAAUACGUAGGGGGCAAGCGUUAUCCGGAUUUACUGGGUGUAAAGGGAGCGUAGACGGCGAUGCAAGUCUGAAGUGAAAGGCGGGGGCCCAACCUCCGGACUGCUUUGGAAACUGUAUGGCUGGAGUGCAGGAGAGGUAAGUGGAAUUCGUGGUGUAGCGGUGAAAUGCGUAGAUAUUAGGAGGAACACCAGUGGCGAAGGCGGCUUACUGGACUGUAACUGACGUUGAGGCUCGAAAGCGUGGGGAGCAAACAGGAUUAGAUACCCGAGUAGUC
rnacentral:rRNA from 1 species